CUCAUAGAGGCAGCUGGUAGAAAGAAGGGGAUAAUCUUAACUACGAAUCUGAAUCUUGAACUUUCCGAAGAGAGGAUCUGGGCUUCAGAGUUCUUACCAGAGACAUGAUUUUCAUUACAAAGUACCUUCUGUGCUGGCUGUUGUCUACCAAGAGGUUCUCUUAGAGUGGGAAAGAAUUGUCUUCAGGAAAGGGUUGUUUCUACUCUAUUAAUAUUGUGCCUGGAGUUUACUUCCUGAGAGUAAGUAUAUCUGUUCUAAGCUCUAAAAACCUGUGCAUACAGAGGAUACAUUCAGAGGUUCUUGAAGGAAAUUUUGUGUAAGUUCCUUGAUCUUCCUGGCAAAAGCUGCAGUACUU
rnacentral:lncRNA from 1 species